GGUUGAUUAUGGCUCAGAUUGAACGCUGGCGGGAUGCUUUACACAUGCAAGUCGAACGGCAGCACGGACUUCGGUCUGGUGGCGAGUGGCGAACGGGUGAGUAAUGUAUCGGGAACGUGCCCUUACAAUGGCGGGGGAUAACUACGCGAAAGCGUAUCAUUACUGCUCACGCCCUUCGGGGAAAGCGGGGGACCUUCGGGCCUCGCACUAUUAGAGCGGCCGAUAUCGGAUUAGCUAGUUGGUGGGAGUAACGGCUCACCAAGGCGACGAUCGUAGCUGGUUUGAGGACGACCGAAACCACACUGGGACUGAGACACGGCCCAGACUCCACGGGAGGCAGCAGUGGGGAAUUUUGGACAAUGGAAACCUGAUCCAGCCAUCCCGUGUGCGAUGAAGGCCUUCGGGUUAUGCGCGCACUUUUGGCAGGAAAGAAACGGCACGGGAUAAUACCCCGUGCAACUGACGUUACCUGCAGAAUAAAAGCACCGGCUAACUACAUUAAGCAACCGCGGUAAUACGUAGGGUGCAGCGUUAAUCAACACUGGGCGUAAAGCGUGCCGCAGGCGGUUCGGAAGAAAGAUGUGAAAUCCCAGAGCUUAACUUUGGAACUGCAUUUUUAACUACCGAGCUUAGAGUCUGUGUCAGAGGGUGCGAUUCCGCGUGUAGCAGUGAAAUGCGUAAGUAUGCGGAGGAACACACCGAUAGGCGAGGCAACCUCCUGGGAAUAACACUGACGCUCAUGCACAGCGUGGGGAGCAAACAGGAUUAGAUACCCUGGUAGUCCACGCCCUAAACGAUGUCAACUAGCUGUUGGGGCCUUCGGGCCUUGGUAGCGCAACUAACGCGUGAGAUUGAACCGCCUGGGAAGUACGGUCGCAAGAUUAAAACUCAAAGGAAUUGACGGACCGCACAAGCGGUGGAUGAUGUGGAUUAAUUCGAUGCAGCGCGAAAAACCUUACCUGCCAAGCAUGUCUACUGCGGAAUCCCGAAGAGAUUUGGGGAGUGCUCGCAAGAGAACCGGAACACAGGUGCUGCGUAGCUGUCGUCCAGCUCGUGUCGUGAGAUGUUGGGUUAAGUCCCGCAACGAGCGCAACCCUUGUCAUUAGUUGCUACGAAAGGGCACUCUAAUGAGACUGCCAGUGACAAACCGGAGGAAGGUGGAUGACGAAUAAAGUCUCAUGGCCCCCUUAUGGGUAGGGCUUUACGCACGUCAUACAAUGGUGGGACUGAGAGAGUUCGCCAACCCGCGAGGGGAGCCAAUCCCAGAAACCCGAUCGUAGUCCGGAUCGCAGUCUGCAACUCGACUGCGUGAAGUCGGAAUCGCUAGUAAUCGCGGAUCAGCAUGUCGCGGUGAAUACGUUCCCGGGUCUGUCACACACACCCGCCCGUCACACCAUGGGAGUGGGUUUACCAGAGAAGUAGUUAGCCUAACCGUAAGGAGGGCGAUUACCACGGUAGGAUUCAUGACUGGGGUGAAGUCGUAACAAAGGUAG
rnacentral:rRNA from 1 species